CCCUUAGAUGUUCUGGGCUGCACGCGCGCUACACUGAUGCACUCAACGAGUUUACGACCUUGCCCGAUAGGGUUGGGUAAUCUUUUUAAAAUGCAUCGUGAUGGGGAUAGAUUAUUGCAAUUAUUAAUCUUCAACGAGGAAUUCCUAGUAAGCGCGAGUCAUCAGCUCGUGCUGAUUACGUCCCUGCCCUUUGUACACACCGCCCGUCGCUCCUACCGAUUGAGUGCUCAUGUGAAUAAUUCGGACUGCAGCAAUGUUUGGAUCCCGAACGUUGCAGCGGAAAGUUUAGUGAACCUUAUCACUUAGAGGAAGGAGAAGUCGUAACA
rnacentral:rRNA from 1 species